rnacentral:rRNA from 1 species
GAUGAACGCUGGCGGCGUGCCUAAUACAUGCAAGUCGAGCGAACAGAUGAGGAGCUUGCUCCUCUGACGUUAGCGGCGGACGGGUGAGUAACACGUGGAUAACCUACCUAUAAGACUGGGAUAACUUCGGGAAACCGGAGCUAAUACCGGAUAAUAUAUUGAACCGCAUGGUUCAAUAGUGAAAGACGGUUUUGCUGUCACUUAUAGAUGGAUCCGCGCCGCAUUAGCUAGUUGGUAAGGUAACGGCUUACCAAGGCAACGAUGCGUAGCCGACCUGAGAGGGUGAUCGGCCACACUGGAACUGAGACACGGUCCAGACUCCUACGGGAGGCAGCAGUAGGGAAUAUUCCGCAAUGGGCGAAAGCCUGACGGAGCCACGCCGCGUGAGUGAUGAAGGUCUUCGGAUCGUAAAACUCUGUUAUUAGGGAAGAACAAAUGUGUAAGUAACUAUGCACGUCUUGACGGUACCUAAUCAGAAAGCCACGGCUAACUACGUG